GGAGCCUUGGCGCAAUGGUAGCGCGUUGGUUUUCGGUCAGAAAGCAUAAACACCAAAGGUUGUGGGUUCGAUCCCCAUGGGCUUCG